rnacentral:rRNA from 1 species
GACGUAGGGCGCGAGCGUUGUCCGGAUUUAUUGGGCGUAAAGAGCUCGUAGGCGGCUUGUCGCGUCGUCCGUGAAAACCUGCAGCUCAACUGCAGGCUUGCGGUCGAUACGGGCAGGCUAGAGUUCGGUAGGGGAGACUGGAAUUCCCGGUGUAGCGGUGAAAUGCGCAGAUAUCAGGAGGAACACCGGUGGCGAAGGCGGGUCUCUGGGCCGAUACUGACGCUGAGGAGCGAAAGCGUGGGGAGCGAACAGG